GUUAAGUGACUAAGCGUACACGGUGGAUGCCUGGGCAGUCAGAGGCGAUGAAGGACGUACUAACUUGCGAUAAGCGCAGAUAAGGCAGUAAGAGCCGUUUGAGUCUGCGAUUUCCGAAUGGGGAAACCCAACUGCAUAAGCAGUUACUGUUAACUGAAUACAUAGGUUAACAGAGCAAACCGGGGGAACUGAAACAUCUAAGUACCCCGAGGAGAAGAAAUCAACCGAGAUUCCGGUAGUAGCGGCGAGCGAACCUGGAUUAGCCCUUAAGCACUCGGUGAAGUAGGUGAACAAGCUGGAAAGCUUGGCGAUACAGGGUGAUAGCCCCGUAACCGACGCUUCAUCGAGCGUGAAAUCGAGUAGGACGGGACACGUGAUAUCCUGUCUGAAUAUGGGGGACCAUCCUCCAAGGCUAAAUACUCCUGACUGACCGAUAGUGAACCAGUACCGUGAGGGAAAGGCGAAAAGAACCCCUGUGAGGGGAGUGAAAUAGAACCUGAAACCGUGUACGUACAAGCAGUAGGAGCACCUUCGUGGUGUGACUGCGUACCUUUUGUAUAAUGGGUCAGCGACUUAUAUUCAGUGGCAAGGUUAACCGUAUAGGGGAGCCGUAGCGAAAGCGAGUCUUAACUGGGCGCUCAGUCUCUGGAUAUAGACCCGAAACCGGGUGAUCUAGCCAUGGGCAGGUUGAAGGUUGAGUAACAUCAACUGGAGGACCGAACCGACUAAUGUUGAAAAAUUAGCGGAUGACUUGUGGCUAGGGGUGAAAGGCCAAUCAAACUCGGAGAUAGCUGGUUCUCCCCGAAAGCUAUUUAGGUAGCGCCUCGGACGAAUACUACUGGGGGUAGAGCACUGUUAAGGCUAGGGGGUCAUCCCGACUUACCAACCCUUUGCAAACUCCGAAUACCAGUAAGUACUAUCCGGGAGACACACGGCGGGUGCUAACGUCCGUCGUGGAGAGGGAAACAACCCAGACCGCCAGCUAAGGUCCCAAAGUAUUGCUAAGUGGGAAACGAUGUGGGAAGGCUCAGACAGCUAGGAUGUUGGCUUAGAAGCAGCCAUCAUUUAAAGAAAGCGUAAUAGCUCACUAGUCGAGUCGGCCUGCGCGGAAGAUGUAACGGGGCUAAGCAAUACACCGAAGCUGCGGCAAUGUCUUUUAGACAUUGGGUAGGGGAGCGUUCUGUAAGCCGUUGAAGGUGAAUCGUAAGGUUUGCUGGAGGUAUCAGAAGUGCGAAUGCUGACAUGAGUAACGACAAAGGGGGUGAAAAACCUCCUCGCCGGAAGACCAAGGGUUCCUGUCCAACGUUAAUCGGGGCAGGGUGAGUCGACCCCUAAGGUGAGGCCGAAAGGCGUAAUCGAUGGGAAACGGGUUAAUAUUCCCGUACUUCUGACUAUUGCGAUGGGGGGACGGAGAAGGCUAGGUGGGCCAGGCGACGGUUGUCCUGGUUCAAGUGCGUAGGCUUGAGAGUUAGGUAAAUCCGGCUCUCUCUAAGGCUGAGACACGACGUCGAGCUACUACGGUAGUGAAGUCAUUGAUGCCAUGCUUCCAGGAAAAGCCUCUAAGCUUCAGAUAGUCAGGAAUCGUACCCCAAACCGACACAGGUGGUCGGGUAGAGAAUACCAAGGCGCUUGAGAGAACUCGGGUGAAGGAACUAGGCAAAAUGGUACCGUAACUUCGGGAGAAGGUACGCUCUUGAUGGUGAAGUCCCUCGCGGAUGGAGCUGACGAGAGUCGCAGAUACCAGGUGGCUGCAACUGUUUAUUAAAAACACAGCACUGUGCAAAAUCGCAAGAUGACGUAUACGGUGUGACGCCUGCCCGGUGCCGGAAGGUUAAUUGAUGGGGUUAGCGCAAGCGAAGCUCUUGAUCGAAGCCCCGGUAAACGGCGGCCGUAACUAUAACGGUCCUAAGGUAGCGAAAUUCCUUGUCGGGUAAGUUCCGACCUGCACGAAUGGCGUAAUGAUGGCCACGCUGUCUCCACCCGAGACUCAGUGAAAUUGAAAUCGCUGUGAAGAUGCAGUGUACCCGCGGCUAGACGGAAAGACCCCGUGAACCUUUACUACAGCUUGGCACUGAACAUUGAACCUACAUGUGUAGGAUAGGUGGGAGGCUAUGAAGACGUGACGCCAGUUGCGUUGGAGCCGUCCUUGAAAUACCACCCUUGUAUGUUUGAUGUUCUAACUUAGACCCAUUAUCUGGGUUGAGGACAGUGCCUGGUGGGUAGUUUGACUGGGGCGGUCUCCUCCCAAAGAGUAACGGAGGAGCACGAAGGUGGGCUAAUCACGGUUGGACAUCGUGAGGUUAGUGCAAUGGCAUAAGCCCGCUUAACUGCGAGAAUGACGGUUCGAGCAGGUGCGAAAGCAGGUCAUAGUGAUCCGGUGGUUCUGUAUGGAAGGGCCAUCGCUCAACGGAUAAAAGGUACUCCGGGGAUAACAGGCUGAUACCGCCCAAGAGUUCAUAUCGACGGCGGUGUUUGGCACCUCGAUGUCGGCUCAUCACAUCCUGGGGCUGAAGUCGGUCCCAAGGGUAUGGCUGUUCGCCAUUUAAAGUGGUACGCGAGCUGGGUUUAGAACGUCGUGAGACAGUUCGGUCCCUAUCUGCCGUGGGCGUUGGAAGAUUGAAGGGGGCUGCUCCUAGUACGAGAGGACCGGAGUGGACGAACCUCUGGUGUUCGGGUUGUGUCGCCAGACGCAUUGCCCGGUAGCUAAGUUCGGAAUUGAUAAGCGCUGAAAGCAUCUAAGCGCGAAGCGAGCCCUGAGAUGAGUCUUCCCUGACAGUUUAACUGUCCUAAAGGGUUGUUCGAGACUAGAACGUUGAUAGGCAGGGUGUGUAAGCGUUGUGAGGCGUUGAGCUAACCUGUACUAAUUGCCCGUGAGGCUUAACC
rnacentral:rRNA from 1 species